GAAAAUAUAAGGCAGCAGUCCACAAAAUAUAGAGAGUGCCUAAAACUAUAUGAAAUACAAUGCUUGGCACAUCUGGAGGAUGGCCCUGUAGCAGAGAUUAAUGGCACCAGUGGAAGUCUUGGGAUAGUAAUCCAAGAAUCAGAGGUCAUAAGUGAGCUGAAGCUUUGGGAGAGACAGCUUAAGCUAUGGCUUUUUAACUAGAGGUUGGAAGUUUGUGUUCAAGAACAGGAAGUUCCAUUACUGUAGCGACCUCUGUACUUAGGUGAAAAGGCUAAACUCAUUCUGAUUUACUUAAACUGAAGACACUAAAGGAAGAAUCUGAGUCUGUAGGUCAGACUCCUAACAAUAACUUCUGAGAGAAAAGGAGGGAGCUUUUGUCAGUAGAUGCAUCUUUUCAAUUUUCUAAUGAUUGAAGAUGUUAUACCCUUCUCUCACUUCUCUGUGUUUGCACACAUUUGCACAAAUCUUCUGCAUGGAUGAGAUAAUCUCAGUUCCAGGUUAUUCAACAGAAUGCUUUGGCUUUCUUUAAGAAAAAUAAAUCUCUGCCAUAGAAUUGCUACCAAUUGUUACCAACACAGCAGCUUUUUUUUGGUUUUUUUUUAGCUUCAGUCUUCUUUUCCCCUUUUUAUAGUCCAUGCUGCCUUUCAUCAGCUUAAUUUAUUUGUAAUUUAUUAAGAUGCAGACAAAUUUUUUUAAACUCUGUUUCAUCAAAGUCUUUCUAUCUUUUUCAGUCAGAUUUUCACACUCCAUGCUGUUUUACAGAGAAUCACUCCCUGCUAUACAUACCAAUACUAAAUAGUAUUCUUCCUUUCUUAUUUAUCUUAGUUGAGGCCCUGAGGAAAGGAUGCUUAUUCUUUAAAUAUUGCCUUACUUGGGGCUGAGAUUAAUCUAGGCAGCACAUGUUGCAAAUAAACUGCAGUAACUGUGCUUUUGGUUUAAGUUUUUGCUUAUAUAUAUUGUAAUACACAGUUGUCAAAGCCAACAGGCUUUAUAUAGAUAUUUUAAUUCUUUUCCACAGUCUUAAGCAUAUUUUUUGUUGUUUUUUUUUUUGGGGGGGGGUGGGGGGGCGGCGGCAAGGUGUUGUGUGUUUCUUUGUUUUUCCUUCCCCCCUCCAGUGUGCAUUUUAACCAGAGUUGUUACUGUUUGUGCUACUGGUGAAAACACUCACUGUGGGUAGAUCACAAAACUGAUAAAUAGUAGAGAGGGGAUGAGACUCAUGGAUGUCUGUAGCGUGGAAAUGUAGAUAGCAAGCAUAAGGCUAAGUUUAGACUUUUGAAACAAUUACCAUAUCUUCAACAUUCACAGUUUGCUCUGGGUCUGGGAUGUUGAAUUCUAACUACUUAUUCACAGCUGAAUUUAGUUAACAUCACUCAAAAGAAUGCCAAAACAGAGCGACAGACAGGAGAGAUUUGAAACAUGCAUAAAAAUAAGUGCAAGUCAUUCUCCUGCUGUGAUUUUAACAAUGGAAGCACAUGAGUGGAAGGGUACAACUUUGUCUUAGUUCAAAUGCAGUUUGCUGCUGACCUGAUCUAGUCUCUUUUGCAUGAUGUCUGCUUGGCUAUCACUGAAAAGCUGUGACAAGUUCCGUUUAAAAUGCACAUAUUUCAGACCUGUAGAUUAAUUCAAUGUUUUUAAGCUGUGAAUAGAUUGUAUGCAAAUGACAUAUAUAUCUGGCUUUAUUAAAUACCGGUUCCUUAUUGGUUUCAAGUCUGAGUUGCAUGCUCACUGGUUUUCAGUAAAACUCAACUAUCGUACUUCUGAAUGUAGUGGACAACUUGCAUCACUUUUUUCUUUUUUUUUUUUCUUAUAAUGGAAGAUUAAGAUCUUAAUUACUGUAAAAAUAUUUUAAUAACUGUUACUAAGCUCCGUUCUGUUGCUAAGAUUACCAGAAUUUACCUUUGUGGCAAUAAACUGUAAGCAAAUGUAUCAAAGUUUAAUAUACACUUGCAGUAAAUGGCAUAGAAAAAUGUGGACUGGAAGCAGGAUUAUUUUGCGUAGAAAACUUUUUAUAUGUCAUAUAUUUGCAUUUGUAAUGUACAGCAUUGUAGCUGUGGUCUGCUUUCAAAAAGCAAUUUGAAGAUUUAACCAGUAAUGCUGCUUCUUGAUACACUGUGGUGCUCUUGUUUGGAAGAGCACUGUGCUGAAUUUGCUUUCUGCUUCUUAUGAUUGUUUGUUUUCUUUACAGUGCCAUAUUUGUUAGGAUGUUUCCUAGAAAACAUAACCCCUGCCCAGAGUUUACAAGCUUAGGACCAAUUCUUACUCCUUUAUGAGCCUGCCUUCAGCCCAAGCCUAAGGAGGGUAUAAUUAGAAAAAAAAACAAAAGCCAUUCUACUGAUACUAUGCAGAUUAUUAAUUGAAACCCCAAAAUGGGAGUGAUUCAGAGUUCCUAGGCCUGUGUGUGCCCCGUGGCUGAUUUUUUUAAGUACCUGUGCUGACUUAAAGAUGGGUUAUACACCUUUCCUGUUCCCUUUACCUGGAAGGAGAUUCAUCUGUGCAAGCAAAAUGGGCUCCGUUUGAAAGACUGGAGGACCAGAGCUUGUCAGGCUGUAGAGCAGAUGCAGCUAGUUGGAUUUAGGGGUCAGGAUGGCCAAAGGGAACCCAUGUUAGAAGUGAUACCUGGAAGAGUAGAGUUUCUUUUUUCUUUUGUGACCUUCCUUUGCCAAACUAUAAUUGAGUGGUUAGUUUAUUUUCUAAAUUUAAAUCUUCCUUUGGCUAUCACCCUCCAUCCUUUUGCUUUGAUAACAGAUUAUAUAUUCUGAAAUUGUGGAGGAAUAGUUAAGAACUCUCCUUAGUUUGUACUAAGUGGCUUUGAAGGCAGCUUAACCGUCUGUGCUUCAUUUGGCUUAUACCCUGGCUUCAUCCAGUGCACCAAUACUUCUUCAGCUACUUGCUAGUUCUGUUGGUACUGUGAAAAUAUCUUUCUUAGGAGCCUUGCACAUAGCAGUUACCAUCCGCAAGAUGAGAAACCAAAUGUAUGAAGGGGUAAACAUUUAUUUGUUACAGUAAUUUUGUAAUUGCUAGUCUGAAUAGACAAGUGUUUGGUUGGAAAUGUGUCUUUUCAUGGCCUUUUCAUGUGGCUUGUCACUGCAAUAAAAUUCACCUUCACCCAGCAGAAUGCCUUUCUCUUUUCCCUGAAUGCCUGUUCCUACCUGAGACAAUGCUUCUCAGGUAGAAGACAGAAAACAAGGGGAUGCUAACUGAAGUAUUAAAGAGAAGAUUGUAUGGAUCUGGUGUAGUAGCUGCAGUCUUUACUUUGGAACACAGUAACAGUGAUGGAUACUUCUAGAUGGAUGGAAGAGGAAGAGAAAUUGGUUUGUUACAAGGGUUUGGGAUUUUGGGUGGGUUUUGUUGUUUGGGUUUUUUUUUUGUUUAUUUUUGGUGGGUUGUUUUUUAGGAAAAAUCAAGUUUUAAUGAGAAAAAGGCUCAUUUAAAUGACUUCAAAUAUGUUACUAGAUUGUUACUAACAAUCUGACAAUGUCUGACACGAAGGAGAGGAGGGAUGCAGAAGGCUCGCUCUCAGGAU